AGAGUUUGAUCAUGGCUCAGGACGAACGCUGGCGGCGCGCUUAACACAUGCAAGUCGAGCGAGAACCAGGCCUUCGGGCUUGGGGAAAGCGGCGAACGGGUGAGUAACACGUGGGUAACCCACCCUUGGUACCGGGAUAGCCCGGGGAAACCCGGAUUAAUACCGGAUGGCCCAACAGCUCUUCGGGGCGGUUGGAAAAGGUAGCUUCGGCUCCGACCAAGGACGGGCCCGCGGCGGAUUAGCUUGUUGGUGGGGUAACGGCCCACCAAGGCGACGAUCCGUAGCUGGUCUGAGAGGACGAUCAGCCACACUGGGACUGAGACACGGCCCAGACUCCUACGGGGAGGCAGCAGUGGGGAUCUUGCGCAAAUGGGCGAAAAGCCUGACGCAGCGACGCCCGCGUGGGGGAAGAAAGGCUUUCGGGGUUGUAAACCCCUUUUCAGGAGGGACGAAGCCACUCGGGUGAAUAGCCCAGAGGGUGACGGUACCUCCAGAAGAAGCCCCGGCUAACUACGUGCCAGCAGCCGCGGUAAUACGUAGGGGGCAAGCGUUGUCCGGAUUUAUUGGGCGUAAAGAGCGUGUAGGCGGUUUGGUAGGUCCGCUGUGAAAACUCGAGGCUCAACCUCGAGACGCCGGUGGAAACCAUCAGGCUAGAGUCCGGAAGAGGAGAGUGGAAUUCCUGGUGUAGCGGUGAAAUGCGCAGAUAUCAGGAAGAACACCCGUGGCUAAGGCGGCUCUCUAGUACGGUACUGACGCUGAGACGCGAAAGCGUGGGGAGCGAACAGGAUUAGAUACCCUAGUAGUCC
rnacentral:rRNA from 1 species